UACGGGGGGGCAAGCGUUGUUCGGAAUUACUGGGCGUAAAGGGCUCGUAGGCGGCCAACUAAGUCGGAUGUGAAAUCCCCAGGCUUAACCUGGGAACUGCAUGCCGUACUAUGGAUGGCUUGAAUUCGGGAGAGGGAUGCAGAAUUCCAGGUGUAGGCGGUGAAAUGCGUAGAUAUACUGGAGGAAUACCGGUGGCGAAGGCGGCAAUCCUGGACCGAGAUUGACGGCUGAUGGAGCGAAAAGCUAGGGGAGCAAACGGG
rnacentral:rRNA from 1 species